rnacentral:rRNA from 1 species
GUCCACGCCCUAAACUAUGUAUGCUUGGUGUUGGAGGCUUUGCCUUCAGUGCCGUAGGUAACCCGUUAAGCAUACCACCUGGGGAGUACGAUCGCAAGUUUGAAACUCAAAGGAAUUGACGGGGGCCCGCACAAGCGGUGGAUCAUGUGGUUUAAUUCGAUGCAACGCGAAGAACCUUACCUGGGGCUUGAAUUGCAGGAAGUAGUGAGAUGAAAGUCAAGCGAACCGUUAAACCGGUAACCUGCAGAGGUGCUGCAUGGCUGUCGU